AAAACGGUGCGCCGCCGCUGCUGCCUCCGUCGUCCUCGCCGGUGGCUCACGGCCAGGAGCCGUCGACCGCCGACAACCAGAACGGAACCACCGCGGCUCCGCCGCCGUCUCGCCAUCGCCAGAGACGGCGAGCCACCGAGGCUGCCGCCUCCCUCUGAUCUCGACUCACACACACAGCAGGGUCAGCCCCCCCUUCAAAGGUUUCAAGCCUCAAAUUCAGUCGAACACUUAGCACAUAGGAUUUGAGCAAAAAUCAAAUACUGUAAAUUUCAGUUCAUACGUUAAUACAUGUAAAUUUUUCUUUUGGAUCAUUCUCGUUUGGUGGUUCUCUGAUAUAUUGGAUAAAAGGGGAAUACCUUGAAUAGGUGUGGUGGAAGAUAUUUAUUUCUGCAGAUUUUGUUUAUCA